rnacentral:tRNA from 1 species
CCUUCGUGGUGAAAUGGUAGACACGCGUGAUUCAAAAUCAUGUGCAAAAGCGUGCCGGUUCAAGUCCGGUCGAAGGUA